CCUGGGAGAGCCUCGCUUCUCCUCUUCAGAACUAGGGUUGUGAGUUGGACCUGGAGGCUCUCGGAUAGAUUCAAGCCAGGACUUGAUUAGGUGAGGACACAGAGGUCGGAACAUGCCUGAUGACUCAGCUGUUUAGAGUAAGUGCUUUAGUUUGGAUAAUUUCUGUACCUACGUCUUCAAUGGCUUCUAUGCAGAACCAUUUUAACAGAUGACAGCUGAAUUACAGCAAGCCAUUAUAGACAUGGCACACAUCCCAAGCAUGGAGAGUGGUAUUACCAAGCUCCAUCCCCAGGAACCGCACUCAGCAUCAAGCUGCCAUAGCUUUGAACUGUGUCUGUGAGCAUCUGUACUUUAUCUUGAUUUAUUCUGUGCAUCCAUUAGCAAGAUGUGCUUAAGGUAAUUGCUUUUUGCUUUGUAGCAUGUUGGCUUAGGAAAGGUUUCUACUCUUGGACAGCAGGGUAAAUUUUAUUUAUAUAAAUGUAUCCAUAUCAUCAUAUGUAAGAAUACUUUCUUAAAUUGUUACCAAAAAUGUUGUUUGUGUGCAUAAGGGUGUUGGUUUUAUUAUGCCCAGAAAUAGAUUAAACUGACGACUAAAAUAAAAUGAAAAGCAAAACAGUACAGAACUCCUAAAAUGUGGAGCUUUUAACUUAAUAAACUACCAAACAUGCAAAUUA